CAUGAGACGGCUUUUUCUUUCUUCCAGGUCUGGCAGUGUAUCAACUUUCACAAGGCCUGGAGCAGAGUCCAGCAAUGCUGGGACCUGCCCAACAUGGGAUUUGCACUGCUGUCACUUGGGAGGUGUGGGUGAUCCUCUGCCCAUGGAUCAUGGAGGGGGCCUACCUUCACUCAGUACAAUGAGUCAGACAGGGCCUGUUGGCAUCAUUCAGACCCCCAAGCAAUUGCCUGGAUAGCUCACCUGCUAGAUGAAUGGAACGUGAGUCGGAGCAGCCACUGCACGAGGAAUCUCACAGCAAAUGGAAGUAGCUGAGAACUGUCUAUCGGGAGCCAGCACAGUAAUCCUGAUGCCCAGAUGAACAUGAUGGGCACUUUGCAAGGGGCUGAAAUUCUGGAAGGGUGUAUGAUAGCAAAGUCAAAGUGGAACAAGAAGCUGAAAAGCAGGCCAAGACUGGGCUAUAAUUGCUAUACCUUCCUCCAUUGGAACUUUCUGAAUUUACAUUUCUCUUGAAAACCCAUUUCUGGGC